CGCGCCGGGUCUGCGGACAGACGCCGGACCGGUCAUCCGGAGAGCGGGUUCAACUCCCGCCGGCGCGA
rnacentral:tRNA from 1 species